rnacentral:rRNA from 1 species
GACAGAGGAUGCAAGCGUUAUCCGGAAUGAUUGGGCGUAAAGCGUCUGUAGGUGGCUUUUCAAGUCCGCCGUCAAAUCCCAGGGCUCAACCCUGGACAGGCGGUGGAAACUACCAAGCUGGAGUACGGUAGGGGCAGAGGGAAUUCCGGUGGAGCGGUGAAAUGCGUAGAGAUCGGAAAGAACACCAAUGGCGAAAGCGACUCUGCUGGGCCGACACUGACACUGAGAGACGAAAGCUAGGGGAGCAAAUGGG